rnacentral:rRNA from 1 species
UACGUAGGGUGCGAGCGUUGCCCGGAUUUAUUGGGCGUAAAGAGCUCGUAGGCGGUUUGUCGCGUCUGCCGUGAAAGUCCGGGGCUCAACUCCGGAUCUGCGGUGGGUACGGGCAGACUAGAGUGAUGUAGGGGAGACUGGAAUUCCUGGUGUAGCGGUGAAAUGCGCAGAUAUCAGGAGGAACACCGAUGGCGAAGGCAGGUCUCUGGGCAUUAACUGACGCUGAGGAGCGAAAGCAUGGGGAGCGAACAGG